rnacentral:RNase_P_RNA from 1 species
GGAAUAAGCUGUUCUAUCGCCGCGGCUUUAUGUCGGGGAGGAAAGUCCGGGCAGCGCAGAGUGCCGUACUUCCUAACGGGAAGGCAGCAGAUCAGAAAUGGUAGGUUGACAGCAAGUGCCACAGAAAAUUAAACCGCCUGGCAUGUUUUUUAUGUGUCAGGUAAGGGUGAAAAGGUGGAGUAAGAGACCACCGCCUGUUGGGUGAUCAAUAGGGCACGGUAAACCUUACGGGCUGAAAGAUCAAAUAGGUGUUAAUUUGUGGGGCUACUCGUCUCCGUUUCUUAGGAAGCAUUAACACGGGUAGAUCGUUAGAGGUUCCGGGUGACCGGAAUCCUGGAUAAAUGAUAGAAUCCUGAUCUGGCGCAGGCUGGUGAGGGAAACAGAAUCCGGCUUACAGGCUUGUUCUUUUU